GGAAGGAUCAUUACUGAAUUGUCAAACGGGCUGUUGCUGGUCCUCAAAUGGGGACACGUGCACGCUCUGUUUACACAUCCACUCACACCUGUGCACCCUCUGUAGUUCUACGGUAUGGGGGACCCCGUCUUCCUUCUGUGGUUCUAUGUCUUUACACACACACCGUAAUAAAGUCUUAUGGAAUGUAUGCCGCGUCUAACGCAAUACAAUACAACUUUCAGCAACGGAUCUCUUGGCUCUCGCAUCGAUGAAGAACGCAGCGAAAUGCGAUAAGUAAUGUGAAUUGCAGAAUUCAGUGAAUCAUCGAAUCUUUGAACGCACCUUGCGCCCCUUGGCUAUUCCGAGGGGCAUGCCUGUUUGAGUAUCAUGAACACCUCAACUCUCAUGGUUUGCCAUGACGAGCUUGGACCUUGGGGGUUUGCUGGCCUGUGGUCAGCUCCUCUCAAAUGAAUCAGCCUCCCAGUGUUUGGUGGCGUCACGAGUGUGAUAACUAUCUACGCUCGCGGUUGUCCACCAGGUAACCUUUGGUGACAAAGGUUCGCUGGAGCUCAUAGAUGUCUCUCCUCAGCGAGGACAGCUUUUUAACGUUCGAUCUC
rnacentral:rRNA from 1 species